CGGGAAGAACUGCAGCCGAAAACAUGGACGUGACGAUGAAUGAGGCAGAUUCUGAGCAAAUUCAAAAAGAAGUUCAACGGAAGAAAUAUGAGGCCACUGCGAAAGUGUCUAGCAUUGGAUAUGAGCUGCCAUGAUAUCAACCAUGGGCUGAUUAAUUCACCUGUCAGGAGAACCAUCCUACUGCAGUCUGUCACCAUUUAGACCACAUUUGCCUGUUUCGAAUCCCUGAGCCAACUAGGUGAAGACGGUCUGUGCCUUAGUGCCACCUGUAAGUCGUUCUGGAUAAGAGCAUCUGCUAAAUUACUCAAAUGUUAAUGUCUCUACAUCAGUCAGAUAGAUUGACUCAAAUAACCAACUCACCAUCACACUUUGAUUAUUUGAAUCAGCUGUGUAAUGCUCGGGCAAAUA